UCCUCUGUGGCGCAAUUGGCUAGCGCGUCUUUCUGUUAAUCAGGAGGUUGGAAGUUCGAGCCUUCCCGGAGGAG
rnacentral:tRNA from 1 species